GCCAUAUCCAGUUGAAACACCGGUACCCAUACGUUCACCGAAAUUAAGCAACGUUGAGCCUGGUCUCUACCUAGAUGGGUGACCUCGUAGGCAUACCUGGUGCU